ensembl:lncRNA
AUGAAAAGCAUCACAUUGUACUUUAUGUUCUUAUUCAAUAUGGAAGGUGUGUUUGGUGAAACUGUGUUAGUGAAGGAGGGAGACUCUCCCACUCUGUUCCCUAGUCUUACUGAAAUAAAGAAAGAUGAUGUGAUAGACUGGAGGUUUGGAGGCACUCUCAUAGCUAGAGUAAGAAAUAACAAAAACCCCACAACGUAUGAUGAUGCCCUUGAUGGGGAAUUCAGAGGCAGACUGGUGUUGAACGGUCAGACUGGAGAUCUCACCAUCACAGACAUCAAAGAUACAGACAGUGGUGUUUAUGAACUAACCAACAGCAUCAACACCAUUAGGAAGACAUUCACUGUCACCGGACCGCGGAUCACCGUUUAGCAUCCAGUGAUUUGAUGGUCGCUGUAGUCUCCUGUGAUUGUCCUGAGUUGAUGUUGUCUUCGGCAUCUAAGAAGGAAGAGAAAAUUAGUGAGCGAUCUGUGGCUUUGACACCUCUGUACCAAGCGAACUCACCUGUCUGCUAUCCCGUUCCAUGUGAUUACCAUACAGCCCGCACUUGAAUAACGUAGCUUUUACCGUGCACCUGAGGACUAAGGAUUCACCAAGCACUUUUACCUUUUAAAUAAAUACACUGUUCUGAAUUCACCUACCUCUUUGUCCCGAGUCUAUCCUGACAGAAGGCUUGAUCUAAAACACAAGGAUGAAUUCAGCGCAGCCGGAGGACAGCGCUUCUGCUAGUCCCACUCCCACAUCGGUGUAUAUGGCAAGCUCUAUAUCCCGACCAGCGCCCUUCUCUGGUAGAGAGGAAGAUUGCAAUUGGUUUUUACUACAAUGUUCACAUGCACUUGAGCAGAACGCACACAAGUACCCUACAGAGAGAUAAAAAAUAUAGUUUAUCAUACAACAAUUGUCUGGACCAGCACUGAGAUGGGCCGAAGCGCUAUAGUUCCAGGAAUCCCCUGCUCCUUACAGAAUUUUAUCGGCCAUUUCAAGGAAGUGUUUGGACGUCCGGUGGGGGAUUCUUCAGUCAGCGAUCAGCUCUUAAACCUGUGACAGGGCAAAAAGACCGUCUCAGAGUAGGCCUGCUAACUGUGUAUCGACGAGGACUAAAUCCUGCACUCCGACUCCAACUCGACUCGAUGAUAAUCUGGGAUUGGAAAAAUUCAUGCAGCAAGCUCUCAGUGUUCACCUGAGGUUACAGUCCUGCUAUCAAGGAGCAAACCCAGUGGAGAAUGUUCCUUGCUGAAGCGUACCUGAGAAAACUCCUGAGCCACCACCAGAAAAGAUGCAAGUAGAUUCCCAAUGAUUAUCUCCAGAGGAACAAAAUCGUCUUAGAGAACAAAAAUUGUGCCUGUACUGAGGGAGAAGGGACCAUUUCAUACGCACCUGUCCAUCUCGUCCUCCACGGUUAGUGGUGAGUUCGGUCCUUCCUCAACCCUCUUUUUCAAACCCACUAACCAUCUCUGUGAAGUUGAAGUUUAGAGGUCUCGAUGUCAAGGCUACCGCCAUUGUUGACUCCGGAUCAGCUGGAAAUUUCAUUUCAAGAAAGUUCGUUAAGACCCAUCGUCUACAAAGGACUCGAACUUCAAAGCCUUACCUCAUCUACGCAAUCACAGGAGAAAUUAUAAAUAAGGGGUACGUGACAUCUCAAAUCGCACUCUCUGUGUUGAACCUGAACACCAAUAACUAUUCACUCCAUUCAUACUUACCAAUAGCCAUGCAGAACUGAUACUAGGCCGCCCUUGGCUGAUUCAACACCAGCCCUUUAUAGAUUGGACCACGGGGAAAAUACUUAAGUGCGGUUGUAAUGGUCAAAAUGCCAAAGUAAAUCAUUCCAUGUCCUAUAUUGAUAACCAGCCUGUUGCUAUAUCAUUAAAUUCCACGUCCAUUGAGAGUCCCAAGGAAAACCAGUCUGUCAAUGUCCCACCUUGUUAUGCCUCCUUUGCAGAUGUUUUCAACCCCCUAGCAGCCUCCAAACUUACCCCACACCACCUACCCCACACAACCCUUAAUCUGCAUAUCCA